rnacentral:rRNA from 1 species
CUUCCUUCGGGAAGUGGAUUAGCGGCGGACGGGUGAGUAACACGUGGGUAACCUGCCUCAAAGUGGGGGAUAGCCUUCCGAAAGGAAGAUUAAUACCGCAUAACAUAAGAGAAUCGCAUGAUUUUCUUAUCAAAGAUUUAUUGCUUUGAGAUGGACCCGCGGCGCAUUAGCUAGUUGGUAAGGUAACGGCUUACCAAGGCAACGAUGCGUAGCCGACCUGAGAGGGUGAUCGGCCACAUUGGAACUGAGACACGGUCCAGACUCCUACGGGAGGCAGCAGUGGGGAAUAUUGCGCAAUGGGGGAAACCCUGACGCAGCAACGCCGCGUGGGUGAUGAAGGUCUUCGGAUUGUAAAGCCCUGUUUUCUGGGACGAUAAUGACGGUACCAGAGGAGGAAGCCACGGCUAACUACGUGCCAGCAGCCGCGGUAAUACGUAGGUGGCGAGCGUUGUCCGGAUUUACUGGGCGUAAAGGGUGCGUAGGCGGAUGUUUAAGUGGGAUGUGAAAUCCCCGGGCUUAACCUGGGGGCUGCAUUCCAAACUGGAUAUCUAGAGUGCAGGAGAGGAAAGCGGAAUUCCUAGUGUAGCGGUGAAAUGCGUAGAGAUUAGGAAGAACACCAGUGGCGAAGGCGGCUUUCUGGACUGUAACUGACGCUGAGGCACGAAAGCGUGGGUAGCAAACAGGAUUAGAUACCCUGGUAGUCCACGCCGUAAACGAUGGAUACUA